rnacentral:misc_RNA from 1 species
UGGCCUUGGGCCGCUCGCGGGGGCUCCGGGUGGACACUUCAAACUCUUGCGUAACUUUGCAGUCUGAGUAAACUUAAUUAAUAAAUUAAAACUUUUAACAACGGAUCUCUUGGUUCU